UACGUAGGGGGCAAGCGUUGUCCGGAAUCAUUGGGCGUAAAGAGCGUGUAGGCGGCCCGGUAAGUCCGCUGUGAAAGUCGAGGGCUCAACCCUCGAAUGCCGGCGGAUACUGUCGGGCUAGAGUCCGGAAGAGGCGAGUGGAAUUCCUGGUGUAGCGGUGAAAUGCGCAGAUAUCAGGAGGAACACCUACGGCGAAGGCAGCUCGCUGGGACGGUAUUGACGCUGAGACGCGAAAGCGUGGGGAGCAAACAGG
rnacentral:rRNA from 1 species